GACGAACGCUGGCGGCGUGCCUAAUACAUGCAAGACGAGCGCAGGAAAUCAUCCGAACCCUUCGGGGGGACGUUGGUGGAAUGAGCGGCGGACGGGUGAGUAACACGUAAAGAACCUGCCCUCAGGUCUGGGAUAACCACGAGAAAUCGGGGCUAAUACCGGAUGGGUCAUCGGACCGCAUGGUCCGAGGAUGAAAGGCGCUUCGGCGUCGCCUGGGGAUGGCUUUGCGGUGAGUUAGCUAGUUGGUGGGGUAAUGGCCCACCAAGGCGACGAUGCAUAGCCGACCUGAGAGGGUGAUCGGCCACACUGGGACUGAGACAAGGCCCAGACUCCUACGGGAGGCAGCAGUAGGGAAUCGUCCACAAUGGACGAAAGUCUGAUGGAGCAACGCCGCGUGAACGAUGAAGGCCUUCGGGUCGUAAAGUUCUGUUGUAAGGGAAGAACAAGUGCCGCAGGCAAUGGCGGCACCUUGACGGUACCUUGCGAGAAAGCCACGGCUAACUACGUGCCAGCCGCCGCGGUAA
rnacentral:rRNA from 1 species